rnacentral:rRNA from 1 species
AGUGAACGCUGGCGGCGUGCCUAAUACAUGCAAGUCGAACGAUGAAGUCCUAGCUUGCUAGGCUGGAUUAGUGGCGCGCGGGUGAGUAAUAUAUAGUUAAUCUGCCCUACACAGAGGAACAACAGUUGGAAACGACUGCUAAUACCUCAUACUCCUAUUUGACAUAAGUUAAAUAGGGAAAGUCUUUUCGGUGUAGGAUGAGACUAUAUCGUAUCAGCUAGUUGGUAAGGUAAUGGCUUACCAAGGCUAUGACGCGUAACUGGUCUGAGAGGAUGAUCAGUCACAUUGGAACUGAGACACGGUCCAAACUCCUACGGGAGACAGCAGUAAGGAAUAUUGCGCAAUGGGGGAAACCCUGACGCAGCAACGCCGCGUGGAGGAUGACACUUUUCGGAGCGUAAACUCCUUUUAUCAGGAAAGAAUAAUGACGGUACCUGAUGAAUAAGCACCGGCUAACUCCGUG